GACGAACGCUGGCGGCGUGCUUAACACAUGCAAGUCGAACGGAAAGGCCCUGCUUGCAGGGUACUCGAGUGGCGAACGGGUGAGUAACACGUGGGUGAUCUGCCCUGCACUUCGGGAUAAGCCUGGGAAACUGGGUCUACUACCGGAUAGGAGCCAUUUUUAGUGUGAUGGUUGGAAAGUUUUUUCGGUGUAGGAUGAGCUCGCGGCCUAGCAGCUUGUUGGUGGGGUAAUGGCCUACCACGGCGGCGACGGGUAGCCGGCCUGAGAGGGUGGACGGCCACAUUGGGACUGAGAUACGGCCCAGACGCCUACGGGAGGCAGCAGUGGGGAAUAGUGCACAAUGGGCGCAAGCCUGAUGCAGCGACGCCGCGUGGGGGAUGACGGCCUUCGGGUGGUAAACGCCUUUCGCUAGGGACGAAGCUUUUUGUGACGGUACCUAGAGAAGAAGCACCGGCUAACUACGUG
rnacentral:rRNA from 1 species